rnacentral:rRNA from 1 species
CAGCCCGAGCAGCCCCUGGGGCCAUAGCAGUCUGAGGGCGACCCUACCUACAAGGUGAGCAGGGACAAGCCUGGCUGGGACUUGGAUGGGGGACCAUCUGGAAAGACCGGGUCUUUGGCUCU